rnacentral:rRNA from 1 species
UUAUAUGGAGGGUUUGAUCCUGGCUCAGGGUGAACGCUGGCGGCGUGCCUAACACAUGCAAGUCGAGCGGGGGAAACUCCCUUCGGGGAGGAGUACCCAGCGGCGGACGGGUGAGUAACACGUGGGUAACCUGCCCUCCGGAGGGGGAUAACCAGGGGAAACCCUGGCUAAUACCCCAUACGCUCCAUCAACGCAAGUUGGUGGAGGAAAGGGGCGCUUGCCCCGCCGGAGGAGGGGCCC